AUGGAUACCUCCCACCAACAUGAGUUCAUAUUUGAGCUCAGUUGGCUGCAAGAUGAAAACUUCUACCCCACUGCCAAAAAGAUCUGGGAACAACCAGUCCGGGUUGAUGAUCCUAUUGAUAUCCUUAAUAUCAAGUUGGAACGGCUCAAAAAAUACUUUAAAGGGUGGGGUUCGAAUUUCUUUGUCCAUGUUAGAAAAAGAAAGAAAAAGAUCAAACUGGAAUUGGAAGAAAUUGAACGUAUAGAAGAGGAAAGGCCUCUCGACCCUAAUAUGUAUGAAAGGAAAACCUCCUUACAAAUAGAGAUCCAUGAGAUUCUUAAUAACGAAGAGUUGUACUGGCUAUAACAAUCGAAUGAGCGUUGGCUUUUAAAAGGUGAUCUUAAUACAACCUUUUAUCAUAGAAUGACGAAUGGAAAAGAGAGAAAGAACACCAUUCAAUCUUUCAUGGAUGGGGGCGUUGUGAUUGAGGGGACCACCAACCUUUUAGCUCAUGCCACAGCCUACUACAAGGAUCUGUUUGGCCCUGCUAGAGGAAAUCUCUUUCACUUAUCCCCUAAUAUGUGGGCUGAGAAUGAAAAACUCACUGAUGAUGACAACAUUCUCCUCACCAGCAAAUUCACAGAAGAAGAAGUGAAAAAAGCUCUUUUUGGCAUGAAUAGCAAUCGAGCUCCUGGCCUGGAUAACAUACCAGCUGAGUUUUAUAAACACUGCUGGGACUUUGUUAAAAAUGAUAUUAUGCGAUUGUUUGAUGCUUUUCACGAAAACACUUUAGAUGUUGCUCGCCUGAAUUAUGGGGUGAUGAUACAUCACUGUCGUAUCUAUAAUUUUUGA
rnacentral:rRNA from 1 species